GACGAACGCUGGCGGCGUGCUUAACACAUGCAAGUCGAACGAUGACGACCGAGCUUGCUCGGUCUGAUUAGUGGCGAACGGGUGAGUAACACGUGAGCAACCUGCCCUUCACUCUGGGAUAACCUCGGGAAAUCGGGGCUAAUACCGGAUAUGAGCUCCUGUCGCAUGGCGGGUGUUGGAAAGUUUUUCGGUGAAGGAUGGGCUCGCGGCCUAUCAGUUUGUUGGUGAGGUAGUGGCUCACCAAGGCGAUGACGGGUAGCCGGCCUGAGAGGGCGACCGGCCACACUGGGACUGAGACACGGCCCAGACUCCUACGGGAGGCAGCAGUGGGGAAUAUUGCACAAUGGGCGAAAGCCCGAUGCAGCGACGCCGCGUGAGGGAUGACGGCCUUCGGGUUGUAAACCUCUUUCAGCAGGGAAGAAGCGAAAGUGACGGUACCUGCAGAAGAAGCGCCGGCUAACUACGUG
rnacentral:rRNA from 1 species